CGCUGCUGCCCCUGCGGGCCCCGGACGCGUCUCCGCAGGCGGCGCUGCCCGCGGCGCGGCGUGUGCACCGAGCGAGUGAAGGUAUGUGGGGCGGGCGCGGCUGGAGCUGCCGCCGCCGCCGCCGCGCCAGCAGGUCCUAAUGCCUGUCACUUCCCAGGACGCUGGCAGCAGCAGCCCGGAGCCCCCGAGCCCUCGGCAGGUUUGCCUGUCCUUCCCCGCGAUCUGAUUGGAUAAAGUGGGGGCUCGACGGUGGCCGACGUGGGACAGUCUGUCUGUGGCAGGGGUCUCGGAAACCAUGGGUUAUUGCAGUGGCAGGUGCACGCUUAUCUUUAUCUGUGGCAUGCAACUGGUACUGAAGAUGGAUGGGGAUCAUUAGGUAUCUCUUAUUAUAUUGUCCCACAAAUAUCUUAACCGUUUGUGUGCUGGAGAGGCAAAUAUUUGACUUCCUUGGAUAUCAGUGGGCACCCAUCCUGGCAAAUUUUGUACAUAUUAUUAUCGUCAUUCUUGGUUUGUUUGGAACUAUUCAAUAUAGACCUCGUUACAUAACAGGAAUCCUCUCUUUCCCAAAGCACCAGGAGGCCCUUUCUCUGAAGUUCACUUAUUUUACUGAGUAUGCUGUCUGGCUAGUCCUCUGGGUUACGUGGAAUGUGUUUGUUAUCUGCUUCUAUUUGGAGGCUGGGGACCUCUCAAAGGAAACAGACCUUAUCCUGACUUUUAAUAUUUCAAUGCACCGAUCUUGGUGGAUGGAGAAUGGACCAGGAUGUACGGUGACGUCAGUGACACCCGCCCCAGACUGGGCUCCAGAAGACCAUCGCUACAUCACGGUCUCAGGGUGUUUGCUGGAGUACCAGUACAUAGAAGUGGCUCAUAGUUCCCUGCAGAUUGUCCUCGCACUGGCAGGUUUCAUCUACGCCUGUUAUGUUGUGAAAUGUAUAACUGAAGAAGAGGACAGCUUUGAUUUCAUAGGUGGCUUUGACUCUUAUGGCUAUCAAGGGCCUCAAAAGACAUCUCAUUUACAACUACAGCCUAUGUACAUGCAAAUUCCCUUGGAUAACAACUGAUAACAAAUUCUAUAUAUCAGCAUCAAGUGAUAUGCUGAAUUGCAAGCGAAGAUCAAAUAGAAAGUCAAAAUAAUACAGAUGACUUCAGUAUGUCAGCCCAUGGACUUUUCAAAGAUCUUUUUUCGCAGUGGCCUCCUGUAUUUUAUGAAGAGCAAGAAGCAACUGAGUUUAAAUACAUAUACAUAUUAACAAAAGAAAUACAAGCCUCUACAUACACUCACACACACACACACGAGCACACACACACCAAUUCCACUUGACCUCCUCUUUCUAACUGAAACAGACAAAUAUGCAGGACAUGCCCAUCUUGGAUUUCCUGAAAGCAGGCUCCUUUCUCCCAGGCCUUUGGAAAGUUCAAAAGGAGAUGUGUUGGUGCCCAAUGGUUGCUGGACGUUGCUAACUCCUCUGCAGCCCAGCUGGUCGGCCUCUGUGAGCUGGGAAGUCAUCCAGGGCACAUUAGUUUGAGAGCUCUGUCUUCUGCACUCCAUACAUUUUGACAGCACCACGGCUAUUUAGGCAAUGUAAUUGCAAAAACAAACAAAACAUGCCAUGAUGACCUUGUACCCGAAAUCCGAAAUGACAGAUUGUUUGCCCUAAAGGCUGUACCGUACAUACUUGCCUUAACCCACCUACGUUGUGUGCCCAAGAAUCUCAGUGCAGACAGCUCCAAGUCACUUCCUUUAGGCUAACACACUGCUAUUAAUUGUGAAUGAGUUCAAGUCUGUGUGUUUCAUGUCAAGGAACAAGACUGACUAGCUCAGCAGCUCCAGUGUGUCUGUAUAAGAAAAGUACCAGCUGUCAGCAAAGUGCUUUACCAUAGAGCCUCCGUGGUGGCCCAAAAAAGACAAGUAACAAUAACAAUGUUUGUCACCUUUAUAAUUCUAAAAUAUGGUCUUCUGAUGGGGUUGGGGUGGGACAGAGGAAAACAUUAAUCUACUAAGCUUACUAGUCUAUUGGAAGCAGAAAGCAGAAAUGGCUUAACUCGCUGAUUUUAUUUAUUGCACUCUAGGUGCUUUUAUAAGUAUCUACAAUUGUCUUUUACUAACACAGAAACAGCUGUGGAUUUCUAUCAACAGAGGCCAACUGAAUAUGUAUUAGCUAUGUUUACUCUUUUAUAUCUAAUUCAAAUUGAAGACUCUAUGUAGGUGAACUUUUUUUUCUAACUUCAGCAUACAAGAUUAUUUUUGGGUGGGUGGGGGGAGCAAUAGUUACCUUGGUGAAAUAUUUCAGAUCUUUUUGUGGUAUUUGGGGGAUCUGUUGUGUGUUAGAGUGUAUUUCAAUCCUCCUGUAUUAUUGUGGCAGAAAAACUGUGCUGUUAACGUAGUUGGCAACAAGAUGCCUUUGGAAACUUAAUAGUAGGUCAAUGUGUUUAUGGAAUAUUUUGAACUCCUAGGAAAUUUUGUUCUAUAUUUUAAAGCAUUAUUUGGUUUUCAUUAGUGGAAAAUAUAAUUAGCUCAGGCUUAUCAGGAACUCAGAUGAGUCAUAUUUUUUCUUGGAUACACCUGAGACAUUAAACUCAAUUUUUUAAAACUAGCGCACCAUCCUUCGUACAGUGAAAUCCAGAAGCUACAAAUUGGCAUGGAGCAAGUAUUUUUUCUUUGAUUUCUAUGAAGUUUCAGUUAUUGGAUUAAACUUCUUUGGACCUUAGCCUAUUCAGAUUUACAUACACCAGUUCCAUUACUGUGUUUGCAUGGAUGUCUGUAAUAUACACACACAUCUACAUUUGAAAAUGAUACAGGAACAAAAAGUUACCAUUGGAACAUAAGCUACAAAAAAAAAUUCCAGCACUCAUGGUUGAAUUUUGUCAGUGGCUUGUAUGUUUGUCCAUACAUACAUGUAUAAAAUAAACAAUCGCAGCCAUGUCAGUGAAACCUCAUAUGAUGCUUUUAUAGUGACAUGCAUGUUUAAUGUAUGAGAAAAAUAUUUACCAAUGUACUGUCCUUUGAUUCCUAAAGUAUAAAUACUAUACAUGCCAGAAACUAUUCUAAUGUGACUUUUAAUGUGACUAUUAAAAUGAGGUUUCACUAUACAUUCAUGCUGUGAUGAGAUUUCACCUUAUAGUACAUGUAUAUGGGUACAGAAAAUAAACCCUCAUAUUCCUGCUUUAAGUUAUAGCCAAGUUUUCACCAAAUCACAACUAACAUCACCACCAAAAUUUUAAAAAACAGUUGUUGACUACUAAAAAGUAAUCAGUGGACAGGUCUUUUAAGGGAGCAGUAAGCACAGUAGUGUGAUUAUAUCUGGGAAAACAUCUAAAGUUGUACAGCUGUAUCCUCCUCAAAAUCCGGUGAAGAAUGCUAUUUUUCUAGGCUGAGCUUUUGUUAUAAACCUAAUAUUCAGAAAGCAAGAGUUAUGAUCCUGAUGUGUCCUUUUUUUUGCAUUUGUUAAUUCUGAAUGUAUUUUUAACAGAGUGAUUUUUUUGACUUACUAGUGUAAUUUGCAUUUUAAAAAUAAAUGGAAAAAUACUUAA